GUUAUCUUUGCCUGUUUCCCACUGCAGUGUGGUGGGUCCCUGAAGAAGUUUGGAACUCAGAGUGGGAGACAGGAUCCAACCAACAGAAAUGCACCAGAUAAAUCAAGGCUCUGGGGGUAGGCUCCUUCGCAUGCAGGGAAAACAGGAGCAACCUAACGCAUCUGAGUCUGGACAACAGCUUAACAGGAAGGCCACUAAGUUGUACUUAUUGAGAUCUGUGACGUUUCUUUAAAACCACAGUUUUAAAGAAAAUGUCUAAGCAUUUGAAUUUUAAAAAUCAACAUGGUUUUUGUACCAAAAAAAAAGUACAAUAGACCACAACAACAAUUAUAAAAACAAUACAGAGGAGUAUUUAAAGUUGAAUAGUCUCUCCUCCCCUUUCCUCAAUCCCAUUCCUCAGCUACAGCCACUGGCAUUCGUUUCUCUAAACCAUUUUGUGGUGAGUCUAAGAAAGCAUGACAGGGUCCUGGGAGAUGCCACUUCUUGCUGGAGGUGGUUUCCCUCCCCAGGGACAAGCUCAUCCUUUGACACCUGUUAUUCCCUGCCCCCCAAGAGCAGGUGAUUCUAACUAUGUGAUCAGCUCUGCUUCCCUGUGAACCAGUACAGGACAUCAGGGACCUCUGCUCACUCUCGGUUCCCUCCCUCCUUCUGCAGGGGUGAAUCCAGGCAAAGACUGGGCACAGACCACCCUAGCCUUACCAGGAAGUUUGCUGUCUUCUUAUCCCCCUGAGAUCUCUGCUCCUCUCCAGAUUUUCUCAACUCCUUCAGAUGCUCCAGCUGCUUCUGAAUUUGUUUCUGGAAAAAACGAGCACUUGUCAAAGCUUGAACUUGGCUCCUCCCAUCUUGGUGCCAACUCUAGAUGGGAAAACUUGCUUCAGGGAAUAAAGCUGAAGCCCAAAGAUGCUGGCCAAUGCACCAACUCCCAGGGUUUUGGAGGAAGUGAAGCAAGCCCCGAUGUGUUCAAGUGCCCAGCAGAGAAGGACCCCAAUGCAGGAAGCCCUACCUUGUAUUCCAGGGCGGCCUCCUCGAUGGGGCGAACAUGGUGGCCUCGGUGCUCCUGACUCAGCCUGCAGAUGAGGCAGAUGGGUUCCCCGUGGUCCUCGCAGAAGAGCAGCUGGACCUGCUUCAUGUGACGCUCACACUGUGGCAGGGACUUGGGGCUCAGGCUGGCCAUCUGCAGGCCCUCCUGCCACUCGAGGCUUCCAUGGCUCUUCCCCGGGAGUAAGUCUUGGCACCGAGGGCAGCUGGAUGAGUAGCCACGUGAGACCUCAGGAUCCCUAGAAGCAACGGAGCAGCUGCAGGAAACACGCACGCAGCUGCCACCAACCGGGUCUCCUUCCUGGGCAUAGCAAAGGCGACACACAGCCUUGUCCUGCAGUCUCCCUGGGGACAUAGCAGUGGAAAAAUCUCAUGAGUGACAAACCCAAGAUGUUACCAAGGAAUGCUGCAAAUCACAGCGAGAGUCCGUGCCUGGGAUACGUACAUUCUCGGUUAGACUGAGGCCCCUCCCUAGCUUGUCCUCCCCCGACUUCCCUCCAGCGAAGUAGCAAAGGAGCCACUGGGACUGAAGGCUAAGGGACAGAUUUCAUUACCAGUCCUGAGGAUUGGAAUUCUUGGGCAUUUAUCCUAAAGAAAGGCCUUUUGCUACAAAUUCUAUGCCUUCUUCCUGCACGCACGCUGAUAACAGGUGAUAUAAAGACAGUAAGACAUUCCGACUGGUGUUUGCCACUUAACCACCACCUAGACUGCUCAUAACUUGAGUAGAGCUCCCAAGGGAUGGUGACUCGCUCAUGGCCAGACCCCCAGCCCCUAGCAGAAUCCCUGGCAUGUGGUGAGCAUUUGGGAAGUGCGUGUUGAAUGAAGGAAUGAAUGGGCCACUGCUCACAUCCAGAUUCAGGAAGCAUGAAGUGAAAGUAAAGAAGGGGACUUUACAG
rnacentral:lncRNA from 1 species